GGACAUUGUCUACUUGACUGCUAGCCACAUACCUUUCUUGGCAGUAUGACAGGAGCCAGGGGUCCAGGAUAAAACACCUUCUCUCCCAUGCAGGUGGAAAUUACUACCCAUUGGGUCCCAAGACCUAGGCUGGACGCUCGACUGGAGACCAAGCUGUCUGUGCAUAGCCCAUUGCCCCACACACCACCACUUCACAGGUGGACCUUCUUGCUACUAUCCUCUAAGUGUUAAGAUGACAGGCAUGCACCACCACACCCAUCUCAGUGGUUUUUCUCUGGAGGCAAGAAGACUUGGACAAGGAGAUAGCACAUGGACUAGCACGGAAUGCUAUGUCCUGUGCCCAACGGCUGAUGUUUGGGGAGAACAGAUGGUGGAUGUAUGAAUUCAUUCCUUGUUGAGGGUUUUCUGCCUACUCUUCCUGUCUGCCUGCCACUGCUUCUGGGAUCAGUCUGGCAAAAGGCCCAGCUGGUCAAGUGUACAAGCAGUGGCCUGCAUGUCAGCCUUGAGGCAUGCAGUUUCAGAUUCCAGAGGUUUGCUGCUGGCUCCUAGCCCUGCUGACUCAACUUGGGGGUUUUUCAGUCAAUUUGCCCUAAGGGUCUUCUUGUCAGACAGGUUUUCUGUGUCAGGCUCCUCUUCCUAGCAGGCUACAGGGGAACUGUCAGAAAAAGGAAUAUCCAUGCAAACUUGUUGAAUAAAAACUUAACCAGGCAGCAUAAACAAGGAAAGUUGUCUGCCCC
rnacentral:lncRNA from 1 species